ACGCUCGACACCAUGGGAGGCAGCAGUGGGGGAUAUUGCACAAUGGGGGAAACCCUGAUGCAGCAACGCCGCGUGAAGGAAGACGGUUUUCGGAUUGUAAACUUCUGUUCUUAGUGACGAUAAUGACGGUAGCUAAGGAGAAAGCUCCGGCUAACUACGUGUCAGCAGCCGCGGUAAUCUGAGCGGGCUGGCAAGGC
rnacentral:rRNA from 1 species